rnacentral:piRNA from 1 species
UGCCCUUUUAAUGCUUGCUCUCUUUCUGUCU